rnacentral:rRNA from 1 species
GGGAGGGUGGCGAGCGUUACUCGGAAUUAUUGGGUGUAAAGGGCAAGUAGGGCGGUCUAUUAAGUGAGGGGGGGUGAAAUCUUCCGACUCAAUCGGAAAACUGCCUUUCAAACUAUUAGACUUGAGGCUGGAAGAGGGAAACGGAAUUAGCAGUGUAAGGGUGAAAUCUGUAGAUAUUGCUAAGAACACCAGCGGCGAAGGCGGUUUCCUGGUCCAGAUCUGACGCUAAAUUGCGAAAGCUAGGGUAGCAAACAGAAUUAGAUACUCUGGUAGUCCUAGCCGUAAACGAUGAGCACUAGGUGUUGUUCCUUCGGGGGCAGUGCCGCAGCUAACGCAUUAAGUGCUCCACCUGGGGACUACGGCCGCAAGGCUA